rnacentral:miRNA from 1 species
UAGAAAAGCGCUUGUGAUGUU